GAUAGCUAAUUGCACAUAUAUAUGAUGUAAUAUCGACUCUGUCGAAUAAAAUUCCGGUUAGAAUUUUGAUAAUGACAUUGUUUGACCGUGUGUCUUGACUAAAUUACGUGCCAGCAGUCGCGGUAAUACGUAAAAGACUAGUGUUAUUCAUCUUUAAUAGGUUUAAAGGGUACCCAGACAGUAAAUCAAGCCAUAAAAGGGACUAAUUUACUAGAGUUACUUAUGCGGGGGUUUUAAAGUACUAAUGGUGUAGAGAUAAAAUUUUGUUAUACCAUUUUUCGAAAGAAAAGUUAUGGCACUGGUAAAGGCGAAAGCAUCCCCUUAUGUGAUAACUGACGUUGAAGGACGAAGGCUUUGGAUCGCGAAUAGGAUUAGAUACCCUAGUAGUCAAAGCAGAAAAUUAUGAGUGUCAUAGAUUAGAGAAAAAUCUUUAUUCUAUAAAUGAAAGUGUAAGCACUCCACCUCAAGAGUAAUUUGGC
rnacentral:rRNA from 1 species